AAUCAAUGAACUUGUAUAAGUAUAUACCUUGAAAGUAUAAAAAAGAAAAAUAAUUUUCUAUUGAUUU
rnacentral:tRNA from 1 species